rnacentral:rRNA from 1 species
CCAAUAGCGUAUAUUAAAGUUGUUGCAGUUAAAAAGCUCGUAGUUGAAUUUCGGGAUCAAUACGUCGGUCGUGCUUCGGUACGUACUGGCGUCAUUGGUUUCUCCUUUCUGACGAACCAUGAUGUCAUUAAUUUGGUGUUAUGGGAAAUCAGGACUGUUACUUUGAAAAAAUUAGAGUGUUUAAAGCAGGCUCACGCUUGAAUACAUUAGCAUGGAAUAAUGAAAUAGGACGUUCGAUCCUAUUUUGUUGGUUUUAGGAUCAACGUAAUGAUUAAUAGGGAUAGUUGGGGGCAUUAGUAUUCAAUUGUCAGAGGUGAAAUUCUUGGAUUUAUUGAAGACUAACUACUGCGAAAGCAUUUGCCAAGGAUGUUUUCAUUAAUCAAGAACGAAAGUUAGGGGAUCGAAGACGAUCAGAUACCGUCGUAGUCUUAACCAUAAACUAUGCCGACUAGGGAUCGGAUGAUGUUAAUUUUUUAAUGACUCAUUCGGCGCCUUACG